rnacentral:lncRNA from 1 species
AAAGUGCCCUUCUCUCUGGAUGAGAAUGCAGACCUAACUUUGAAAUUCUCAUAAUCCAGAGACACCCCUCCAACCAGGUGUUGAAAAUGAUGACUAUCCCUUUAACAGGCCACACUGAAGGCCUGCACAGCAGGCCCUUGUCAGAGAAUCUUGUUGCAAGGCUUCCAGGCGUGAGUUGUAAAUCAAUUAUAAACCACACCUGCCCAAGCCUUGAUGCAAACCAUUGAUAUUUAAUGGUCUAAUGGUCAUCCUCCACAUUGAGGCUUGUUCCUGAAUUAAGGCAUCUGGACAAAGUUUUCCGAAGUUCAUCCACCAUAUAAAAUGCAUUCUCCUACAAGUUAUGAGAGACUUACACUGCCUUCAUCUUAUAGGGGUUGCACACAAACUGCUGCUGGAACAGUGAGUGAUGCCACUGCCGAACAGCCGUGUAGAGAAACCGGAUUAUCCUCCGACCUUCAGUUCCAUAUCUACACAACGGAGGGGAAAAACCUACAUCUCAGAGAGACUGUGACACUCAGGGAUAAACCCCCUCUGGCUCAAGUCAUAAAUGACAAUACAAGAUUUGUUUUCUGUGGAAAAGCCCUAGUACAGCCAUAUGGAGAAGGAGUAUUCCAUGGUCUAUAAUCCAUGUGAACAGAUGUACAAUGGGAAGCAUCUUUGUUAUUCCAACCCUGGGGGAAUUUCUUUCACCAACCUGCAGCAGAGGCCUUAAUGAGGCUGCGGUCUACCUGAAAAGGUGGUCCAAACACCGCAUCGAGCACCAGGUGAGUCAUAACUAAGACUGGAUUAUGUGUGGGCUCUCACUAUGGACCCAAUCCAGACCUGCCCACUUACUCCCUGUGGGAUCUGCAGACAUCUUUCCCUUCUCCAGUCCUUCGUCUCCUCAUCUGUACAAUGGUGAUGUUGGGCCAGAAAUUCUAAGGACCCCCCCGCCACCCCCUGAUCUCUUCCUGAUUCU